UGGAAAGUGGGACAUGGUCCAUAUGGCUGAGGGCCCAUCCCAAAGUUCCCCAAGGUCCAGGAGGGUUCGAUUGCCAAGCCUCUCUCCCGGAAUCUCUUUCUGAAAAACACUGAUUUUUGAAAACAGCCGCUGACGCAGAAUGGAGUAGAACGGGUGGUGAUGUCACAGACAGUUGCAGCCAUCUUUGGAAUCCUCUCUAGGCCAACCUGGAAGUCAACAUGGAAAGGCCAACAAAGAGGGAGAAGUUGGGCUCGGCAGAAUCCAAGGGGGCAGCUUUCUUAUAAGGGGUCGUGCUCCUCCAUCCUCAGAUGGGAGAAGAAGGGGAGAUGCAGAGCUACAGCCCCUCUGGCCAGGGACGUAACCUGUACAGAAGAGUCAGCUCCCAGGGAAGAGUCCAAGAGGCGGUGUGAUCUCUCUCAGGGUGUUUUCACGUUCUUUUUUUUCCCCCCUUCACAGUGUCUAUGACAGAAGUCCUCAGAAGGAAAGAGCAAAGCAGGCCAUUGCCAGGGUGCCAGGCACCAUCCAGACCAUGGACAUCUGCCCCGGCUGCAUCAAAGACUGAACCGUUCCCAGUUGUGUGCCGAUGAAAAGAAAAUGGAUGGAGCCGAGUUCAUAGUUGAUCAAGCCAUUUUUAGCGGCCCUAAAACAAGCAAAGAGGCGCUGGACACUAUGGAACGGAGAUGCAGUUGUGAAACCGGUGAGGGGAAGCAGGGGGUGAACAGCCACCAGGAGGGCGGCGAUGGUGUCCCAACCCUGGGGAAGAAAAGUAUUCCAAUGAGGGAAGGGCCAGAGCGAGCCUUCGAGAAGGAUUAUGGUGCCAGGAGCUCCAUACAAAAGGACCCGAGAGAGCCGAGCCCACAGACCACUGCCUCAGAGAGUGUGUCGAGCAGCUCCCCUGUACGCAAGCCAUCCCACCGAAACAGCCACGGCCUCCUGAGGCCGGGCCCUUACCAACUCCGUCGGCAGGCGGCCAGCCUACACCCUCAAGGGGCUUCCCAAAUGGACCACACGGGCGAAACGGAGGCCAAGGAGGACGUGACCUGGAUUCACCAGAAAACUGAGAAAGUCAUGAAAUGCCGGGGUCAGCAGACCAGUCGGAUUUGGGAGUUUAAGCCGCUUUCGGCCAUCCUGCGUCCUCCUCCUAGCCGAGCCGUCCAGGUAAGUCCGGAUUCAAAGGAAAACAAACAGGGGAGAUCCGAGGGGAGCCACGCUUUUUUGGAAGGGUCGAAGACAGAGCACCCUGCCCCACGGGAAUCCUGCUGCAGGGAUCCGGAGCCCAGGCAGCCGGAAUCGCGAAAGGGGGUACGGUUAGAAGAGGGAAGAUACCCACAGGACGCCCAUGAGCUUAGUCAGCAGCCAAAGGAGCAGAAGUUGUGGGAUCAACGCGAAAAACCGAUGGGUCAAGAAUCGGCAAAGGCGUCCAUGUUCUCCUCUGGAACUGAUGCCGAGGUGAACCUAAUAUGGAUCAGCCCAAAAACUGGCUGGGAAAGGAGAUGUGAGAGCCAACAAACAAGCAGGAUUUGGGAAUUUAAGCCCCUUUCGGCAAUCCUGCAGCCCUCGGCUCAAGAACCCCAGAAAAGUUCUGCUUUAAAGCAAGAAGUAGGGAGCAGAACAGAGGGAGAGACGGCUUUCCCCGGGCAGACAAAGCCAGAAGGCCUGGCAGCACAGGGAUCUGCCUACGUGGUCUCACAGCUGCAAGAGGGAAAACUACAAGGCGGUACUCGGCCCCAAGGACAGCCGGGGCCGUUCGAAAAUCCAUACCUAGGGUGCAGCCGAGAGGCGGAAAAGCGGAACCGCAAUGAGGAGGAGGAUGGUCAAGGGGCUCCAGAGAAACCAGAACCUUCCCAAGGGCAUCCUUCAAAAGGAACGGACGUUGAGAGGGAGCUAACUUGGAUCAACCGCAAAACCGGCUUGGAAAUGAAAUGCAGGAGUCAGCAGACCAGCAGAGUUUGGGAAUUCAAGACCCUUCCAGAAGUCCUGCAGUCCUCGAUUCAGGAACCCCAAGAAAGCUCAGAUUUAAAGAGAGGAUCAGAGAGCGGAUCCGAGGAGGAGACUGGUUUCCCUGGAGGGUCAAAGACAGAAAAGCCUUCCGGAGUUGAAUCUGUCUGCAGGAUCUCAGCGACAGAAGCCUUACAAAGUAGUACACAGCUGAUAGAACCGCCGCUGCAGCUUGGAAGUCCAGGAUCGCAAGAUUUCCAAGCAUGCAGCCAGAAGGCAGAGAAGCAAAAUCACAAGGAAGAGGAUGAUGGUCAAGGAUCUCCAGAGUCUCCAGAGACUCCAGAAUCUUUCCAGCACAAGGCUGUUGUCCGGAGGGACCAAACUUGGAUCAGCCCAAAAACUGGCUUGGAAAUGAGAUGUGAGAGUCAACAAACGAGCAGGAUUUGGGAAUUUAAGCCUCUUUCCGAAAUCCUGCAGCCACCUGUUCAAGAACCCCAGGAAAGCUCAGAUUUGAAAGAAGGAGCAGAAAGAAGACUGGACAGAAAUAUUGUUUUCCCUGGAGGGACGAAGACAGAAUAUCCUGUGAAUUGGGGAUCGUGGUGCAAGAACCUGAAAAUACAUGAGCAAGAACUACCUAGUGGUCUUAAGUGGACAAAAGAAGAGCCACUCCACCCUGAUGACCAGCAUCUCCAGGGUUCCCAAAAGGUGAGUCACGAAGCAGAAGAAAAGGAAACCUGUAAUCACAGUGAACAGAAGUCAGAAUUGCCCCCCGAGGAGAAUCUCAGCGAAACCAAUGGUGUUCAGGGACCUCCAGCGACUCCAAAAUCUUUCCAGCUACAGCCCACGAACAAAGCCAUUGUCAGCGAAGAGCGAAGGUGGAUCAGUCCCAGAACUGGCUUGGAAAUGAGAUGUAGAAGCCAACAGACAGGUGGUGUGUGGGAAGCCAAGCCGCUUUCCGAAAUUCUACAGGCAUCUCAGAAAAGCAAGAGGGUAAGUGAGACGAAAGAAGAGUACGCUCAGCGUCUACUGGACCGUGGCAGUAAAACAAAUCGAGAGAUGACAUGGUCCUACACGGAAGGCGAGGAUGAAGUGCAGCCGACGUACAGCCUCAUUUCCCUGGAAGAAGGGAUGAUGUUCAACAACGAAACCCACAAAAUACUCCUCAGCUGCAGCCAGCAGACGGACGAGGCUCUGUUUCGAAGCGCUGGUGGAACAACAUGGGGUGACGAUGAAGCGGCAACCUGCCGAGGGAAGGAGAAUGAAGAACCCAGCAUUGAAGGAGAGCAGCCGAAAGAGGAAAGUAUCCAAGAGGGAGAUGGUCCCGGAAGACAACGGGGCACACGCCAACAGCAGCUCCGUGCCAAGAGUGAAGAACUAGAAUCGGAUGAUAAAGAUACUGAGAACAUCCCCAAGGGGCCCCACUUGAGCGAUGAGGUCCUCUUCCACGUAGAGUCCUCCUUUGUAUUUGCGGCUGUGGAUGAGGAUGAUGUCCUACCCAUUUAUGAGAAAGAGAAGGAUGGAAAGGAAGGAAGCUUCCUCAACACGCAAACGGGCAAGCUGCUGGAAUCUCAUUGUCUACAGACCGACUCCUUUUCCUUCCAGAAGGCUGAAGGCGAGGCCAAAGCUUCCUGAUGCUUUCACUGCCCUGCCAGGAGGACACCAGAAGAAGACUAAACAGAGAAGACACAGAAGGUGGGCAGCAGCUUCCAGAAAAAACUACACCUGCACAAAUGAUGAUGAGUAAGGAUUCCCUGGAUCUGAAAAUGGAGAUCCGUGUAAGGCCCCAGAGAUGUGUGAAUAAACAGUCAUGAUGACAUCUCUGUUUGCUCUCA
rnacentral:lncRNA from 1 species